rnacentral:rRNA from 1 species
GUGCACCAGUCGAGAAAACUUCACAAUGUGCGAAAGCACGAUGAGGGAAUCCCAAGUGCUUGCACGUAAGUGUAAGCUGUUUCUCUGUCUAAAACGCAGAGAGAGUAAGGGCUGGGUAAGACGGGUGCCAGCCGCCGCGGUAAUACCUGCAGCUCGAGUGGUGACCGUUAUUAUUGGGCCUAAAACGUCCGUAGCCGGUUUAAUAAAUGCCUGGGUAAAUCGGACCGCUUAACGGUUCGAAUUCCGGGUAGACUGUUAAACUUGAGACCGGGAGAAGUUAGAGGUACUCCUGGGGUAGAGGUGAAAUUCUGUAAUCCUAGGGGGACCACCAGUGGCGAAGGCGUCUAACUAGAACGGGUCUGACGGUGAGGGACGAAGCCCUGGGGCGCAAACGGGAUUAGAUACCCCCGUAGU